AUUGAACGCUGGCGGCAGGCCUAACACAUGCAAGUCGAACGAGUGGCGGACGGGUGAGUAAUGUCUGGGAAACUGCCUGAUGGAGGGGGAUAACUACUGGACACGGUAGCUAAUACCGCAUACCAUCUGAUGUGCCCAUAUGGGAUUAGCUAGUAGGUGUGGUAACGGCGCACCGAGGCGACGAUCCCUAGCGGGUCUGAGAGGAUGACCAGCCACACUGGAACUGAGACACGGUCGAGACUCCUACGGGAGGCAGCAGUGGGGAAUAUUGCACAAGGGGCGCAAGCCUGAUGCAGCCAUGCCGCGUGUAUGAAGAAGGCCUUCGGGUUGUAAAGUACUUUCAGCGGGGAGGCGUUACCCGCAGAAGAAGCACCGGCUAACUCCGUGCCAGCAGCCGCGGUAAUAC
rnacentral:rRNA from 1 species